rnacentral:rRNA from 1 species
ACGCUCGACACCUACGGGAGGUAGCAGUGGGGAAUAUUGCACAAUGGGGGAAACCCUGAUGCAGCGACGCCGCGUGAGCGAAGAAGUAUUUCGGUAUGUAAAGCUCUAUCAGCAGGGAAGAAACUGACGGUACCUGACUAAGAAGCACCGGCUAAAUACGUGCCAGCACGCCGGACGGUAAUCUGAGGCGGGCGUGGACGAAGGC